UUCUGGGUAACCCAGAAAGUUUAGAACAGGGUCUGACAACAUCUUUAAGCUCCUUAAUCUGUCAGUCAUGUUAGUGUUUUGAUGAUAUGUUGUAUUAAGAUUGUAGCUUGUAAUGUGGACUCUAGAUCCAUGGCCUUAGACCUCUUAAACAAUCAAUAUAUCGAUCGUAGCAAGUGGUCAAAGAAGGCCACUCGCACUAAUUGGCAUUUCUGGGAUUUUCCAGAAACAUGAAGAACCUUAUUUCUAACAGCCUUUGACCGGCUUUGAUCUUGUUUCUGACAAGCUUUUAGGAUGUAUAAUGGUAUCUAGAGUAAAGUAUGACAUGCAAACUAUAAGUACGAAG
rnacentral:lncRNA from 1 species